GGUGGGACAGGGGAGCUGCUCCUGCCAGACACGCUGUGCCCCACUGCUCCUGCUGGGCUGGGCACUUGUCUUGGCUCCUGGGAGCCGUGUCUGGAUCCUCAGGGCUGGAUGCCUGGGGACCAGCCAAGGGGGAGCUCCUGGGCUGCUGCCAGAGCAUCCUGGAGGGAGCAUGGCUUGCACCACAAGCUCUGGGGGUUUGGAGACCUGCUCUUUGGCUGGGGGCUGUCUGAUUGGGGGGAUUUUUUGUGCUUUUGCUUUUGGGUCUUGGUGACUUGGGGGCUUUUUGGGUUUGGGGGCCUCUGAGCCUGGCAUUUUUGCCCCGGUUCCAGCAUGCCUUUUGGCUCUUCUGCCCUGGUAGGCUCUCUCCUGCAUCCUGUGAGCAUCACAGCACUCCCCUAAUCUGCUGCUGCUCACUCUCCCUUUUUUGUCUCUGGCUUCCUCUCUCUCAAUCUCCCCCCACUCCUUUUCCAUUUUCCUUUCUGCUUCUCUGUCUUUCCUAGCACUUUUUUGUAGGGUAACAUCUUGUGCUGUUUGCUUUUUUCUUUAUCAAUAAACUGUUUUCAGACACACUGUUGUCUCUGUUGACAUCCUUCCAGAUCAUCUAUUUUUAAAAUAAUUCCUCCAAGUUCCCCACAGUGGAAAGCCACAGGAUCCCUGCAGAGACAUCCCCAAGGUCCAAUGUCCUGGAGAUGGGGGAGCCCCAGCCCUGCUCCAGCAGAGACAGCAGCGUCCAGAUUUGAUGAGAAUGAAACUGAAACUCAGCGAUUGAGCAAUUUCUCGGGAUUUACCUGUCCUGACAUUCCCUUUUGGGAUCUUUCCUGCAGCACUUUGACCCUCAGAGCACAGCACACACAGGACAGGCACCGGGAUUAGAGCAGACACAUCGCAGCUCUCGCUCCCACCACCAUGGGCUUUCAGCUACUCGUGAUUGCAUUCCUUGUGGGACUCAUCAUGGGAUUUCUACUUACAACACUAUGCAAAGAGAAGAUAGCCAUGAAAAUAAGCAAGGGAUCUUUUUCCUUCUCUUUUGAAGUUGGUGCGUGGGGAGGGGGGAAACAAAGGGUCAGCCGCACAGGCUGCAGCCAAUGCCUUGGUCACCACAAGAAGAAAGCCUGAUUACCAUGGCCAGUGAACAGAAGGCGAUUUCCUUCCUUCCAAGCAGCCUGCUUCAUUUCUUCCCACAGCAUGGACUAGAAUGCAUCCACUGACCAGCAGCUGCCCCUUUAACAG